UGGAUGUCGGGCAGAACGGGGGGAGAAGAUGGCGGCGGUUACCUGAGGAGAAGAUGCCUGGGGCCCGGCGAUCAUCGCAGAAAUCCAGCGGAGAUCACGGCUCAGUAUCCUGUGUGUAGACGUGCGCUCAGUCCAGUCACCGCUCUACCGCCAUCUCAUUCUCUCCUCUGCCAGGCUGAUAAAGGACCAAACAAUGGCGCGGAGCGGCGGACGCCUUUACAUCAUCCUGGACGGUUUCUAUAUCAUUGAUCUCACUGAGAGUGGAUGUGGUCAGACCUUAUGCAGAGCAAACUCCUCCACCGUCCUGUCAUCCGGCCAA